rnacentral:rRNA from 1 species
AUUCUGGCUCAGGAUGAACGCUGGCGGCGUGCUUAACACAUGCAAGUCGAACGGGAUCCCAGGAGCUUGCUCCUGGGUGAGAGUGGCGAACGGGUGAGUAAUGCGUGACCGACCUGCCCCAUACACCGGAAUAGCUCCUGGAAACGGGUGGUAAUGCCGGAUGCUCCAGUUGACCGCAUGGUCCUCUGGGAAAGAUUCAUCGGUAUGGGAUGGGGUCGCGUCCUAUCAGCUUGAUGGCGGGGUAACGGCCCACCAUGGCUUCGACGGGUAGCCGGCCUGAGAGGGCGACCGGCCACAUUGGGACUGAGAUACGGCCCAGACUCCUACGGGAGGCAGCAGUGGGGAAUAUUGCACAAUGGGCGCAAGCCUGAUGCAGCGACGCCGCGUGCGGGAUGACGGCCUUCGGGUUGUAAACCGCUUUUGACUGGGAGCAAGCCCUUCGGGGUGAGUGUACCUUUCGAAUAAGCACCGGCUAACUACGUGCCAGCAGCCGCGGUAAUACGUAGGGUGCAAGCGUUAAUCGGAAUUACUGGGCGUAAAGCGUGCGCAGGCGGUUAUAUAAGUCAGAUGUGAAAUCCCCGGGCUCAACCUGGGAACUGCAUUUGAGACUGUAUAGCUAGAGUACGGUAGAGGGGGAUGGAAUUCCGCGUGUAGCAGUGAAAUGCGUAGAUAUGCGGAGGAACACCGAUGGCGAAGGCAAUCCCCUGGACCUGUACUGACGCUCAUGCACGAAAGCGUGGGGAGCAAACAGGAUUAGAUACCCUGGUAGUCCACGCCCUAAACGAUGCGAACUGGAUGUUGGGUGCAAUUUGGCACGCAGUAUCGAAGCUAACGCGUUAAGUUCGCCGCCUGGGGAGUACGGUCGCAAGACUGAAACUCAAAGGAAUUGACGGGGGCCCGCACAAGCGGUGGAGUAUGUGGUUUAAUUCGAUGCAACGCGAAGAACCUUACCAGGGCUUGACAUCCUGCGAACCUCUGGGAAACCGGAGGGUGCCUUCGGGAGCGCAGAGACAGGUGGUGCAUGGCUGUCGUCAGCUCGUGUCGUGAGAUGUUGGGUUAAGUCCCGCAACGAGCGCAACCCACGUCUUUAGUUGCCAGCAUUUAGUUGGGCACUCUAGAGAGACCGCCGGUGACAAACCGGAGGAAGGUGUGGAUGACGUCAAGUCAUCAUGCCCCUUACGUCCUGGGCUACACACGUACUACAAUGCUACGGACAAAGGGCAGCAAACUCGCGAGAGCUAGCAAAUCCCAUAAACCGUGGCUCAGUUCAGAUCGUAGGCUGCAACUCGCCUACGUGAAGGAGGAAUCGCUAGUAAUCGCAGGUCAGCAUACUGCGGUGAAUACGUUCCCGGGCCUUGUACACACCGCCCGUCACACCAUGGAAGUUGGCCAUGCCCGAAGUCGUUACUUCAACCCGCAAGGGAGGAGGAUGCCGAAGGUGGGGCUGAUGACUGGGGUGAAGUCGUAACAAGGUAGCCGUACCGGAAGGUGCGGCUG